ensembl:lncRNA
AGAAAACAGAGAAAACAGAGAAAACAGCGAAAACAGCGAAAACAGCGAAAACAGUGAUAAUAGUGAAAACUGUAACAGCCGUGACAAUACGAACGAAAUAAAUGCCAAGUAUAAAAAUCAAAAUGUAAAUAAAAUAAAAUAUAUUUAUGACAAUGUCAUAGAUUAUAAACAUGAUGAUAAUUUUGAAAAGGAGUUUAUUAAUUUUGAAAAAGGUUUAAAAAAAUUAUUAAAAAUUAAUUAUUUAAAUAAUUUUACUUUAUUUUUAACAUAUAAAAAAUAUAAUUUUUUUACUAUUAAUAAUAAUAAUUACAACUAUAUAAAUAAAAAUAAUAUCCUACCCUUACUAUCAAUUAUUUGUUUAUAUGAACAAAAUUUUAUUAAUUAUAUUAUAUUAUCAUUUUUAUGUUAUUUCAAAAUUAAUAUAUCAAUUGUUUUCUUUUCUUUUUAUUGUCAUUCACAAUAUAUUCACAACAAAAAUUUAGCCAUGUCUUUAUUAAUAUUUAUUAAUCUAUUAACAAAAAAUUAUAUGUUCGACACUUUUUUAUUAAAUUUUAUUUAUACAAAUUUACAAAGUAUAACACCAAACCAAUCUUUACAACAUAUUUUUUUUGAUAAAAAUAAAAAUUAUCAUUUGUUUUUUUGUAAUAAAGAAGAUGAAACAUUAUCAAUCAUCCAAUUAUUAAAACUAAUAAAUAAUAUGUUAAAUACAAAUAAAGAUAUAUAUAUAAAAAAAAAAUACAACAAUUUACAUACAAACACUACCAUAUCUUCUUAUUUAAGAGAUAAUCAUAUUUCACACUCGAAAAAUUAUAAUUAUGUUAUUUACCAUAUUUUAAAAUAUGAGGAACUAGAAAGUCUAUGCAACAACAUCCUAGAACAUAUCCUAACGUAUUUGUUAAAAGUAGACAGUGAAGAAGACGCAGAUAAUAAAAAAAUUAUAGUCAUUUAUUUAAGAGAUAAUAUAGAAAAUUUGAAUGUUUUUUUAGUAGACAUGUAUAAAAAAUAUAUAAAUUUAAAAUAGCACUCAGAUUACUAAAACAUGUCAUAACAUGAGAUAACAUGAAAGAAAAUCACAAAAAGCAUCAUAUUUUUAUAUACGUACAUAAAUGUGAUGCUUUAUUUUGUUUUUUUUUUUUUUUGUCAACUAUUUAAAAUGUUUUUGUUGAAAUUCUGCCUUACAAAAAAAAAAAAAAAAAAAAAAAAAUUUGUAUAACAUAAACAGCGAAUAUGUAUAUAAUCUUUGUAUCAACUAAACCGUAUAUACUUAAUAUAUAUAUGUUUGUAUUCCAUUUGUUUAAUUAAAAACAUAAUUUUCAUAAAAAAAAGAAAAAAAAAAAAAAAAAUAUUUAUAACUUUAAUAACACUCAUUACACGAGGUGUUUAAUUUGAAUUUUUGGAAUUGUUAACGCGUAAAAUUAAAAAAAAAAAUAAUGUUUAUAUGUGACAUUACGGUAUCAAUAAAUUAAUUAUAUUGCCUUAUAUGGCA